rnacentral:rRNA from 1 species
UACGUAGGCAGCGAGCGUUUGUUCGGAGUUACUGGGCGUAAAGGGUGUGUAGGCGGUUGUUUAAGUUUGGUGUGAAAUCUCCCGGCUCAACUGGGAGGGUGCGCCCGAAUACUGACUGACUUGGAGUGCGGGAGAGGUGAGUGGAAUUCCUGGUGUAGCGGUGAAAUGCGUAGAUAUCAGGAGGAACACCGGUGGUGUAGACGGCUCACUGGACCGUAACUGACGCUGAGACACGAAAGCGUGGGUAGCAAACAGG